UACGGAGGGGGCUAGCGUUGCUCGGAAUCACUGGGCGUAAAGGGUGCGUAGGCGGGUCUUUAAGUCAGGGGUGAAAUCCUGGAGCUCAACUCCAGAACUGCCUUUGAUACUGAAGAUCUUGAGUUCGGGAGAGGUGAGUGGAACUGCGAGUGUAGAGGUGAAAUUCGUAGAUAUUCGCAAGAACACCAGUGGCGAAGGCGGCUCACUGGCCCGAUACUGACGCUGAGGUGCGAAAGCGUGGGGAGCAAACAGG
rnacentral:rRNA from 1 species